ensembl:lncRNA
CAACACUCCAGCAGCCAAUCCCCACGGAACGACAGGAAAUGUGGGAAGAUCCUGAUAGCUUUCAUAGCUGCACCGUAAGGGUUAUGAAACACGCUCCUCGGCCAAAUGAGCCCAUGCCGACUCUCCUCCCCGCCGCAGAGCCAGGCGGUUGGCUAAGAGCGCCUUGCUGGUCCGAUUUGCUCUCCAGGUGCUUGAAGGGGGAAAGCGGGAACAAGUAUAAAAUGUCCCUGUCUCAUGACCCUGUCAGGGUCUCAGGGAAAUGAACCUGUGGAAGACAAUGGAACAUCCUAGCAAGUGAGGCAAAAGGUUCCUGAGUUUGGGGAAGACCACUGCCACCCACUGGCCCCAUCAGAGGGAGCAUCUCUUCAAGUCCCCUGUUCCUGCUGGGAACGUUCAAGGACAGUAAACAUGCUUUCUAGGACUGGAGGGGUCUGAAAACCAGAUUUGUUCCAGGCACUGAUUUGGUGAACCCAGCACUGCACACCCAGAGAACAACUUUGCGUUUCUGCUGUCAUCUUCUUCACUGUAGAUUUGGAGAAG